rnacentral:ncRNA from 2 species
AAAAAAAUAAUCUCUUAUUCUUGUAUAAGCUCAUUAAUAUGGUGUGAGCGUUUCGACCAGGCAACCAUAAAUUGCCCAGGCUACAUGAAUAACUUAUUUAGAU